UGGAUGGGUACCAAAGAUGGCACAGUUCAACUCUUUCCUGUGAUGCCUGCUGACCCUUAGCCAAUGGCAAGCCUGCAGGCUGCCCCAAGCCCCGUCCCACCCCUCAUGCCACUUCUCUCUAUUUGACCCUACCCUGCCCAGAAGGGCCAGGCUGGAACAAAUCUGCCCCUGCAGUGCAAGUUCCCAACCUCGCCUCCCGGCAGGAGCCUCCCUGCUUUCAUCAUAACAUGUGAUUUUCUUGGUGUGUCUCCCAUGGGCUUGGUUGGGUAAAAAGGAAAAUCCCCAACGCCCUUAGGAAACUGCAGCUGCCCAUCCCUGUGGAAUCCUUCUCCCCAGUCCAACCUCCUGGAAACAGAGGGGUGACACUGUGGGAGGGCCAGUCGCAUCCCCUGAGCAAGUCCUGAAGAGGUUACUGAGGUCCCUCUUCAGAACACGGGGCGGUCGGCAAUUAUUCACCCCAGGUCUGCACCCCGGGUGUCAAUUCUGGGGCAAAUGAAGACGUCCCUUCCAAUGUCCUGUCACACGUAUAAUCCCGCCCCCAUUUGCUGACAGGUGCUGCAGAGGAAGUGUGGAGAAUGCACUGGUCCCACCUGGGGUGCCCCAAGGAAGUGACUUUCACAGGCCACAUCAAGAGAGCAUCCUGAGCCAAGGUUGUGAAGCAGGAGGGAGUGUGGCACGUUGGGGAGAUGGAAAGGCCUGUGUGUUUGGGGCAGCGAGACUGAGCGAAAGGUUACAGGGACGAGUCUGGGAUGGUGGCAGCAACCGUGGCAGCAGCACCGAUAUUUAUAGCUCGCUUGCCUUUUAUAGCACUUCUUGCCUAACAAUCACAAGAGGAAAUGAUUAUUAUCUCUCUUUUAGGGAAGGAAAUGGCAACCCACUCCAGUAUUCUUGCCUGGAGAAUUCCAUGGACAGAGGAGCAUGGUGGGCUACAGUCCACAGGGUCGCAAAGAGUCAGACACGACUGAGCGACUCACACUUCCACUUGCAUCUUGCUCAGAGAAGUGAGGCAACUUUCCUGAGAUCACACAGCAGGGCUCCUGUAGAGAGGCCUGACCCAGCCAGCCAGCUGGACAUGCAACCAUCACCAAGAGAAAGGACCCACUCCAGACUGCUGGCCAGAGAGGUAAGAGGGAAUGUGUAAAUUCUCUAAGUAACAAGAAAUCUAUCAA
rnacentral:lncRNA from 1 species